GUCGACAGAUCACCUCCGCGGCUUCUCCUUCCCACGCCAUUACAGCGGGAGGCAUCCUGCACCGAACAUCCCUCCACAAAUCCCGCAUUAUCUCCACCAUCCAACAACUUACCCACUUGAAACUCAUCGCACUAACAAACCGAAGCCCGAAGAACACGAUAACCCCCAUCAGAACCCGCGGGAAGUGAUAGUUUUUGCGAUAAAGGCCGGUAAAAAGCAAUUCACGCCGCCAUGUCGUACGGCCGGGGUCCUCCUGAUAUAAAGGGCAUGACGUCAUUGAAGGUGGAUAAUUUGACCUAUCGCACGACCCCUGAGGAUUUGAGGAGGUCGUUUGAGAAAUAUGGUGAGAUUGGAGACGUCUAUAUACCAAGAGACAGGUUCAGCAGAGAAAGUCGUGGGUUUGCGUUCGUCAGGUACUACGACAGAAGGGACGCAGAGGACGCCAUGGAGGCAAUGGACGGCAGGAGAUUGGACGGUAGGGAGCUGCGAGUCCAGAUGGCAAGGUAUGGCCGCCCGGAGACACCCCCGCACCGCCGCCGCCGCCGUCGUUGCUCGGACAGCUCUCGAUCAAGGUCACGCUCAAGGUCACGCCGUAGGAGCCGCCGCAGGUCAAGGUCUCGCUCCAGGUCAAGGUCGAGGUCAAGGUCACGCCGUCGCCACUCUAGGUCAAGGAGUAACAGCCGGAGCCGAACGAGGUCGCGAACCCACUCUCGUUCAGGAAGCAAGUCUCCUUCUCGUUCUCCCCAAGAACACCCGAACACCGCAGCUGGUGCCGCUCCCCACCACCACCACCACCACCACAGCCCGCCCCCCUCCCCCUCCGCCCAGAACCCCCCCGAGAAUGGGAUGGACGGGGCUAUUGAUGGAGGGGAGCCUGGGGGUGGUGGAGGUCGUGGAGGGUCAAGGUCGAGGUCGAGGUCAAGGUCCAGGUCGCGGUCAAGGUCUCGUUCGAAAUCCAGAUCAAUGGAAUGAAGGAAGAAGAUGAAGCAUUAAGAAGAAGAAGAAGAGGGAGAGAAGGAGAGAGAGGAGAGGAGAGGGAAGGGAGAGAGAGAGAGGGAGAGAGAGAGAGAGAGGCGAUUAAGAUAGUAAUGUUGCAAGGCGCUGAAGAGUAAGCGGUAAGCAGUGUUGCUGUGUUGCGGUGUUGCGGUGUUGCGGUGAUGCUGUGUUGGUGGUGGCAGUGAUGCGGUGUUGCAGUGGUGGUGGUGGUGGCGGCGAAGGGGGGGGCGGGGGGAUACGGAGAGAGAGAGAGAGAGAGAGGGAAGAGGAAGAGAAAGAGAGAGUGUGUUUGAACCAGACACCAAACUAUUACUACUACUACUACUACUAUUACUACCACUACUACUAUUACCACUACUACUACUACUACUACUACUGUCAAAUUCUAUACACAGACUACCAGUUCGAAAGAGAGAGAGAGAGAGAGAGAGGAGAAUAUAUGAACGAGGAAGAGGAAGAGGAGGAGGAGGGAAGAGGGGAGGAAGAGGAAGAGGAAGAAUUUUUUUUUAUAUAAUAAUAAAAAUUUUUCAGGCUUUUUUUAUUAUAAAUUGAAAAAAAGUAGUUUUUUUUUACUUCAAAAUUUAUUAUUAUUAUUAUUUUGCAUUUUACUGACGAAGAAGAAGAAGAAGAAGAGGAGGAAGAAGAAGAAAAGGAAGAAGAAGAAGAAGGAAGAAGAAGAAGAAGAAAAUUUUAAUAAUUGUUUAAUAUAUUUUUCGUUUCCAGGUCUCUCUCUCUCUCUCUCUCUCUCUCUCUCUCUCUCUCUCUCUCUCUCUCUCUCUCUCUCUCUCUCUCUCUCUCUCUCUCUUUCAAUAUAUUUUUUUACCAGUAUAAUUUCAAAAUAAAUAUUACUUUUUUGAAAA